rnacentral:rRNA from 1 species
CCUACGGGUGGCAGCAGUGGGGAAUAUUGGACAAUGGGCGAAAGCCUGAUCCAGCCAUGCCGCGUGUGUGAAGAAGGCCUUCGGGUUGUAAAGCACUUUCAGUGGGGAAGAAAGCCUUGGGGCUAAUACCCUCGAGGAAGGACAUCACCCACAGAAGAAGCACCGGCUAACUCCGUGCCAGCAGCCGCGGUAAUACGGAGGGUGCGAGCGUAAUCGGAAUUACUGGGCGUAAAGCGCGCGUAGGCGGUCUGAUAAGCCGGUUGUGAAAGCCCCGGGCUCAACCUGGGAACGGCAUCCGGAACUGUCAGGCUAGAGUGCAGGAGAGGAAGGUAGAAUUCCCGGUGUAGCAGUGAAAUGCGUAGAGAUCGGGAGGAAUACCAGUGGCGAAGGCGGCCUUCUGGACUGACACUGACGCUGAGGUGCGAAAGCGUGGGUAGCAAACAGGAUUAGAUACCCUGGUAGUC